rnacentral:rRNA from 1 species
CCUACGGGAGGCAGCAGUGAGGAAUAUUGGUCAAUGGCCGUAAGGCUGAACCAGCCAAGUCGCGUGAAGGAAGAAGGAUCUAUGGUUUGUAAACUUCUUUUAUAGGGGAAUAAAGGUAUCCACGUGUGGAUAUUUGCAUGUACCCUAUGAAUAAGCAUCGGCUAACUCCGUGCCAGCAGCCGCGGUAAUACGGAGGAUGCGAGCGUUAUCCGGAUUUAUUGGGUUUAAAGGGUGCGUAGGUUGUUUUUUAAGUGAGCGGUGAAAGUUUGUGGCUCAACCAUAAAAUUGCAGUUGAAACUGGCAGCCGUGAGUAUAGGUGAGGUAGGCGGAAUUCGUGGUGGAGCGGUGAAAGGAUUAGAUAGCACGAAGAACUCCGAUUGCGAAGGCAGAUUACUAAACCGAAACUGACACUGAUGCUCGAAAGUGUGGGUAUCAAACAGGAUUAGAUACCCGAGUAGUC